rnacentral:rRNA from 1 species
GACGAACGCUGGCGGCGUGCCUAAUACAUGCGAGUUGAGCGAUGAAGCUUGGUGCUUGCACCAAUUUGAAGAGCAGCGAACGGGUGAGUAACGCGUGGGGAAUCUGCCUUUGAGCGGGGGACAACAUUUGGAAACGAAUGCUAAUACCGCAUAACAACUUUAAACAUAAGUUUUAAGUUUGAAAGAUGCAAUUGCAUCACUCAAAGAUGAUCCCGCGUUGUAUUAGCUAGUUGGUGAGGUAAAGGCUCACCAAGGCGAUGAUACAUAGCCGACCUGAGAGGGUGAUCGGCCACAUUGGGACUGAGACACGGCCCAAACUCCUACGGGAGGCAGCAGUAGGGAAUCUUCGGCAAUGGACGAAAGUCUGACCGAGCAACGCCGCGUGAGUGAAGAAGGUUUUCGGAUCGUAAAACUCUGUUGGUAGAGAAGAACGUUGGUGAGAGUGGAAAGCUCAUCAAGUGACGGUAACUACCCAGAAAGGGACGGCUAACUACGUG